CUAAUAAACAGAAAUGCACCCCCUAUAAGAAGCGAAUGGAAUAUUCCUGCCCCUCUCCCGCAGCCGUUUGGUUUCCUCCGUCACCCGGUAGAUUUUCCCACGUGACCGCUGCGACUUCCUUUCUUGUGGCAGCCAUCGAGAGCAAUGGCAAAGAUCAAGGCCAGAGACCUGCGCGGAAAGAAGAAGGAGGAGCUGCUGAAGCAGCUG